UCACUGAAUAAUUAUAAUGGAAUGUUUGAUCUUUCUACUGAAUAUUCUAAUUUCACCCUUAUGAAUAUACUAUUUUGGUUAUGUUAAGCUAUAAAUUUUUGUGAUUAUUUAAAAAUGUAAAUCUCAACCAAAAAAUCAAUGCUUGCAUAAAUUGAACUUUUAUUUUAAAUGAUAAUAAAAUAUAUUUUUUUGCUUAUUUAUCAUAAAUUUAUUAAAUUUGAUCAAAUAUAGUGAACUGUCAGAAGAUACUGAAGAACGGACAUAUGUUAUCGCAUGAAAAUGGAUUAUUUUGCCUUGAAUAUUAUUGAUAUUUUAUAGACAUUAAUAAAAAUGUUUAAAUCACAUUCAUUCUUCCGUAAAAAUUUUUGUCUUCAAAUUAUGGCAUCAAAUACACAACAAAAAAGCACUGCUUAUCAUCAAUCUCCAAAAAUUUAAGUAUUGAAUAUGAAAGCAAAACUAAUCAUUUCUUAAAUUCAUUGAACUCACGAAUUGAGAACCAAUAAAGUCAGUAUAAUUGAUUGUAUUUACAACAUUGAAAUAAUUGAACCUUACUCUCAAACGAUUAAAUAUUAUACUCAAAAUUUCAACAAAAUUAUCGAUGCAUUUAUUUUUUAAUUACAUGUAUUGAAUUAAUAAUUUACCAAAAAAUUAUGAAAGAAAUAACAAAGAUCCAGAACCAUGAAGACGUUCCUUCUACUGAAGAAAGUGUUAGAGGAAAGGAAAAAAUAAAUCAAUCAGAGAAGCAACAAAAAUAUAUAUCAAAAAAAAAAAGGCUACAUGGAUGUCCUGGAUGUCAUUUAGAUGCUCGAGAAUGUUCUAGUCACUCAGGCAAUCAUUGUUUAUAUUGUAUUUCUCGAACUGGAGGUAGUCAUCAGUACUUAAAUCAUUUUCGAGAGUAUAAUGAAGAAAAUUUUCAAGAAUCCCCAGAAGUUGUUAAUGAAGAACAUAAACAUAGCAGUGAGUGUGAGGUAUCCCAAGCUAAUGGAUGUCGAAAGAACUACAGACAAUGUGGCUAUACACCUAUUCUUCGUAAAUCAAUCGGUCAUGAAAGUGAUUCUACUACUGAAGCUGUUAAAUAUUCAUGGUAUGGUGGGGGAUUCGAUUGUCAACGAUGUGGGCAUAAAGUAUAUCAAGCCGAAAUGAAGGUUUCAAUAUUACGAUGAUUUUAUUUAUCAACCUUACAAACAGAUAGA